GGGUCGAUACCAAAGCGGUCAACUGGGGCGGACUGUAAAUCCGCUGGCUCUGCCUUCGAAGGUUCGAAUCCUUCUCGGCCCACAA
rnacentral:tRNA from 1 species